UGCGGGAUGCCGAAAUCGGGUCCCGGGUUAUCGAAACUUGCUGAUCUUCAGGAGAUUCAUCAUGACU
rfam:Pseudomonas sp. HPB0071 genomic scaffold aczIi-supercont1.2, whole genome shotgun sequence.